UGGCGGCGUGCCUAACACAUGCAAGUCGAGCGAGGAGAUUCCUUCGGGAUGAUCCUAGCGGCGGACGGGUGAGUAACACGUGGGCAACCUGCCUCAUAGAGAGGAAUAGCCUUCCGAAAGGGAGAUUAAUACCUCAUAACAUUGCAGUUUCGCAUGAAACAGCAAUUAAAGGAGCAAUCCGCUAUGAGAUGGGCCCGCGGCGCAUUAGCUAGUUGGUGAGGUAACGGCUCACCAAGGCGACGAUGCGUAGCCGACCUGAGAGGGUGAUCGGCCACAUUGGGACUGAGACACGGCCCAGACUCCUACGGGAGGCAGCAGUGGGGAAUAUUGCACAAUGGGGGAAACCCUGAUGCAGCAACGCCGCGUGAGUGAUGACGGCCUUCGGGUUGUAAAGCUCUGUCUUCAGGGACGAUAAUGACGGUACCUGAGGAGGAAGCCACGGCUAACUACGUGCCAGCCGCCGC
rnacentral:rRNA from 1 species